GGACAAUUAGCUCAGUUGGUUAGAGCGCAUGCUUCACAUGCAUGAGGGCGCCGGUUCAAGUCCGACAUUUCCCACCA
rnacentral:tRNA from 1 species